rnacentral:rRNA from 1 species
AGAACGAACGCUGGCGGCAGGCUUAACACAUGCAAGUCGAACGCUCCGCAAGGGGAGUGGCAGACGGGUGAGUAACGCGUGGGAAUCUACCCAAUACUACGGAAUAGCUCCGGGAAACUGGAAUUAAUACCGUAUGUGCCCUACGGGGGAAAGAUUUAUCGGUAUUGGAUGAGCCCGCGUUGGAUUAGCUAGUUGGUGAGGUAACGGCCCACCAAGGCGACGAUCCAUAGCUGGUCUGAGAGGAUGAUCAGCCACACUGGGACUGAGACACGGCCCAGACUCCUACGGGAGGCAGCAGUGGGGAAUAUUGGACAAUGGGCGCAAGCCUGAUCCAGCCAUGCCGCGUGAGUGAUGAAGGCCUUAGGGUUGUAAAGCUCUUUUAACGGGGAAGAUAAUGACGGUACCCGUAGAAUAAGCCCGGCUAACUUCGUGCCAGCAGCCGC